CCUCCCGCCCGCCCGGGACGCUGCCGCCUCCUUCCCACAAUGCACCCUGACGCCCGGGGGUGCCCUCUCUUCCCUCAGCCUCCCUCCCCGCCCUCCUUUCCGCCGACUUUUAAGCGGGCGAGCACGCGCACUGAAAAGAGCCUGCCGGGGUGUGGCGAGAUAGAGCCGCGACAAGGCGCAGGCGGACACUGCGCCUGCGCGCAGCCUAACUCGCAGGGUGGGAAUUGCGCAUGCGGACCAGCGCCGGGGACUAGAGCAAGCGAGUCCUGGGUUGUUCUGCCUAGAAUCCCAGCAAGAGGAAGCAGCAGCAGUUAA
rnacentral:lncRNA from 1 species